rnacentral:rRNA from 1 species
ACGGAGGCGCCCAAAGGUUCCCUCAGAAUGGAUGGAAAUCAUUCGCAGAGUGUAAAGGCACAAGGGAGCUUGACUGCGAGACUGACAAGUCGAGCAGGGACGAAAGUCGGGCUUAGUGAUCCGGUGGUUCCGCAUGGAAGGGCCAUCGCUCAACGGAUAAAAGCUACCCCGGGGAUAACAGGCUUAUCUCCCCCAAGAGUCCACAUCGACGGGGAGGUUUGGCACCUCGAUGUCGGCUCGUCGCAUCCUGGGGCU